AGCAGUCGCCACGGGAAUACGAAGGGGGCUAGCGUUGCUCGGAAUCACUGGGCGUAAAGGGUGCGUAGGCGGGUCUUUAAGUCGGAGGUGAAAUCCUGGAGCUCAACUCCAGAACUGCCUUUGAUACUGAGGAUCUUGAGUUCGGGAGAGGUGAGUGGAACUGCGAGUGUAGAGGUGAAAUUCGUAGAUAUUCGCAAGAACACCAGUGGCGAAGGCGGCUUACUGGCCCAUUACUGACGCUGAGGCUCGAAAGCGUGGGGAGCAAACAGGAUUAGAUACCCCCGUAGUCCCUGUCUCUUAUAC
rnacentral:rRNA from 1 species